UACGAAGGGGGCGAGCGUUGUUCGGAAUUACUGGGCGUAAAGGGCGCGCAGGCGGCUCAUCAAGUCAGAUGUGAAAGCCCCGGGCUUAACCUGGGAAUUGCAUUUGAUACUCUGGAGCUUGAGUACGGGAGAGGAGAGUGGAAUUCCCAGUGUAGAGGUGAAAUUCGUAGAUAUUGGGAAGAACACCGGUGGCGAAGGCGGCUCUCUGGACCGUAACUGACGCUGAGGCGCGAAAGCGUGGGGAGCAAACAGG
rnacentral:rRNA from 1 species